CCUACGGGGGGCAGCAGUGGGGAAUAUUGGACAAUGGGGGCAACCCUGAUCCAGCCAUGCCGCGUGUGUGAAGAAGGCCCUCGGGUUGUAAAGCACUUUCAGUGAGGAAGAACGCCUGGUGGUUAAUACCCAUCAGGAAAGACAUCACUCACAGAAGAAGCACCGGCUAACUCCGUGCCAGCAGCCGCGGUAAUACGGAGGGUGCGAGCGUUAAUCGGAAUUACUGGGCGUAAGCGCGCGUAGGUGGCUUGAUAAGCCGGUUGUGAAAGCCCCGGGCUCAACCUGGGAACGGCAUCCGGAACUGUCAAGCUAGAGUGCAGGAGAGGAAGGUAGAAUUCCCGGUGUAGCGGUGAAAUGCGUAGAGAUCGGGAGGAAUACCAGUGGCGAAGGCGGCCUUCUGGACUGACACUGACACUGAGGUGCGAAAGCGUGGGUAGCAAACAGGAUUAGAUACCCUGGUAGUC
rnacentral:rRNA from 1 species